AUGGGAGGCUGUUUGCUGGACUCUACAUUCCUGAGCAGCGUCACCCUCCAAACGCAUCGCAGUGCCCACAUCACCAAGCUCUCGCAUGGAGGACGUCCUCCUUCACAUCUAACUGAGGAAUGUUUGAUUUGACCAUUACCUACGCACACACACACACACAAACACACACACACACACACACACACACAUAAUGAAGAUAAAUAUUACCUCAGAGGUGCCAAAAGAAAGCUGCAGUUCCAUAGUGUACAUCACCUGUUGUCUCUCUUUUUCAUUGUAUAUAUAUAUAUAUGUGUGUGUGUGUAUGUGUGCGUGUGUGUGUUUUGUCUUGUCUUGUUGUAUUUCAUGUAUGAGUACAAACUUUAUGCCUUGUGUGCAACCGCUGUUUCACUGUUUACCCAAAGCCUUUAUGCCAAAGUGCUGGUAUAUGGACAUACCCUUUGUUUAUGUUUUCUAUAAGAUAACGAAAAAUGCUGAACAUACAAAAACACCAAUUAAAAGAGGUGCCAAACUUGGUAUGCCGAUGGAGGCGUGUCCCUCAGCUGGGUUUCUAGUUACACCAUCACUCAGGAGGAAGUAGUAGUAUCUCAAUCCAAUCAUACACCGUAGAGCAUUAUAUGCACAUGAAUUAUAUUCUGUACUGCACUUUUUCUCCUGUUUCUUGUGAUGAAGAUGUUUACACACAACAGAGAUGCAGAGAUCUCGUUGGGGCCGAGGUUUGCUUGAAAGUGUCGCCCGAGUUUAUGAAGCUUAAAGAAAAGUUUAUCAGAUAGAAUAGACGUAUACAAAUGGGUAUUACAGUCCGCAGUCACAUAUAUAUCACUCACCUUUGCUAACUUUGUGUGAAAUCCAUGCUGUUGCUCAUUUCUCAUUUUGUCCCCAUGCACCCGGGGCAGAGGACGAUGAUGUCCACUGUGUUUCUGCAGUGGUCUCUCACCACACGCCCCUCCGAGGUUCUCCCCACAUCGUCAUCUGGGAAAAUGAAAGAAAUGGAGUCCACGGGCUGCUCGCUCCUGUUUUCCUUUUCUUUUGGCGUAUUUUUCCUCGGAGCUGGACGUCAAUGACUUUUUUAUGGCUGUGGUCUCAUAUACACUUGACUGAUUUAUCGCAGGGAGAUUAAUCACCAAGCAGCAAACGUAAUGCACGUGUGACUGACUGCUCUGGUGUGUUGUGCAGUGCAGAGGUGUAUCAGUCCGUGGGACUUCUGGUGUCACCCGAGUACAACACGGGCGUUCGCACGUCUGCUCGGGUGUGGCCUGUUGCACACCUGUGGAAUCUGCCCCGGUCGUCUCGUCAAUACUGCAAGUGACUCUCUGUCCAUCACCGCCUUGAGAGACGCCUGGAAGAUGUCGUACGGUGUCGACGGAAGUUCAAACCGCCGUAAAUUCCCUGAUGGAAAAACUUAAAUCCGGCGUGCACGACUACAUGCACUGUACGAGUGACACGGCAGACAGGAAGUCGCACCACACGAUGAAGGAUGAUAACACGUGUAAGAGACAGACAAUGGAGACUCCAGAGAUGCGAAGCAGAGAGGCUUGAUAUCCAGGUCAGGCCCUGAUGCUGACUGGGAACACGCGGGGACAUUUGAUCUCCACCUCCGGUUCUUCUCAUGUGCACAGAAGAACACAACGUUUGGUCGGUGGCGUGUUGCUGCGCGGACUCACUGGAGAUUGUCUGAGUUGCUCUUUGGAUGGGCUGCAUCAUGUAGACAUGGAAGGAUCCAAGAAAACUCCGAGGCUCUCUCCUUUUAAACGGGAGGGAGAAAUGGGUUUUUUAAGUUCUCGCUGCUUCAGGGCGAAGGUGCGUACUGGGGAUGUUUCUUGGCGGACAUCCGGUGGGUGUGGUUUCUGUUGCACAGUGAGGCUGUCAGGUUGUAGGUACAAAUAGCUUCUGUUUUUUAAUUUUUAAGGAAAAAAAUAUUUAGCUUUAAGGUGGAUUUUUGUCUCCCCACCCACAUCCAGACUUUUUACAUUCAUAAGACAAGUUAAAAGCAUCCGUCUCCAUACUUAGCACACAGACACAAGACUGAUCCCCUCAUCUCACUCUUUUUGGGGAAAAGUAAAUAGAUAAAUGAAUGAACAUUUUCGGUCGAAGUGGUUCCUUCGAGGAAGCAACAGCAGCACGUUAGAUGAGGGUAGUACCAGAGAAUAGGUGCGAUUAGACAUUUGCUGAGCCACGUCAGUCAGUGGAUCCAUCUAUUUUCUAUAUCAAUCAUCCCGCUCAGGAGGAAGGAAGGAGCCUGGAGGCCAGAGGUGGGGGUGUUGGGCCUCACGACAGAAAAACAGAGGCCAAAGUGAACACGCUCAACCGAAGAUCAAAAUGAAACACGAUGAGGGGGCAGACGUCCCCCACGAAUUGCUGUUCAACUCUACAGCAAUCGCACACACCCACAAUAUGGAGACUAGAGUGGAACUGUGUGACUGUGUUGUCAUUUCAGUACCGACAACAACAUGAGGGUACUCGAGACCAAAUCCUCCCCUUUGUGUUUAAUUAACACCGCAAGUCGGCUCUUCAAAAAACAUUUUCUUCUUCUCUCCAUCGGUGGAGCGUCUGUGCCGCUCCCCGGGCACACCCCUUUGAUGCAGUCGCUAGGCAACCCCUGCUCUGUAUCUGCCCCCCCACCCCAGCUCGUCUUGUCAGAGAGUGAGUGAUGUAAGUCGGACGUAACUGACUCAGAAUUGUGCACAUCGCGCCGAGUAAAGUCGGGUUCAUACGCACAACUUUAGGCAGAGUCUAACUGUUACAUUGGAACUUUUUGCACCCUCAUCACACGGAGCUUCCUGUCCACACAGAGUUAUUGUCCCCCUGUAUUCAUAUGGCAGGAGGCUGUAAUUUGAGAGUUCCAUAAUGUGGAACAAAGACAACCUCACUGUAAAUGUGCAUAUAGGAUUAAAUGUAGAUACUCUGAUCAUUCCAAACUGUUGCACAAGGGGCUGUAACUUUCUUCUCAGACUAUUCAUGUUUUAAUAUCCUUGCAGCCAGGGACACUAGAGACCUUCAGUUGACGUUAUUAUGGG